rnacentral:rRNA from 1 species
UGGGGAAUAUUGCACAAUGGGGGAAACCCUGAUGCAGCGACGCCGCGUGAGCGAAGAAGGUUUUCGAAUCGUAAAGCUCUGUCCUAUGAGAAGAUAAUGACGGUAUCAUAGGAGGAAGCCCCGUCUAAAUACGUGCCAGCAGCCGCGGUAAUACGUAUGGGGCGAGCGUUGUCCGGAAUUAUUGGGCGUAAAGGGUACGUAGGCGGUCUAUUAAGUCAGGUGUGAAAGCGUGAGGCUUAACCUCAUUAAGCACUUGAAACUGAUAGACUUGAGUGAAGGAGAGGAAAGUGGAAUUCCUAGUGUAGCGGUGAAAUGCGUAGAUAUUAGGAGGAAUACCGGUGGCGAAGGCGACUUUCUGGACUUUUACUGACGCUCAGGUACGAAAGCGUGGGGAGCAAACAGG